rnacentral:SRP_RNA from 1 species
GCUCGGACUAGGCCGGGGGGGUAGCGGUCCCCUGUAACCGGCAAACCGCUAAGCCGGGGCCGAAAGCUUGGGGGCGGCCUCGCCCCCAAGCACCUUGCCCGUAUGUGCGAACAAUGAUGUCUCGUCCUCCGGGGCUGGGGGUGCCCGGUUUGCGGGUGUAGGCCCGCAAAUACGGGCUUUGCCGCGGGAAAUGGGC